UGACGGUAAACACAGCUUCUGUUUAAGU
rnacentral:sRNA from 1 species